GAGGGGCGACACGAGGGAGGAAAGGGGCUGGAUCGAGGUUGACUUAAUUCAGGGAAGCUGAAGGAGGCGGGGAGGGGGCCGGGGAAAGGGCGUGGCUAACAGCCAUCGCCCACCCGCUCUUGCUCGGCCGGCCUCAGGCGUCUUAUUGUCGUUUGGCUGCGAAAGACCGAGAACGAUGCGAGUGAAUAGAGGGCGUGGCUUUGUGGAAGGAGGGCCGUUACAGCUCCUCUCUCUCUCCGAUUCCGCCUUUUCCUAAUGAAAAGCUCUCCGGGCUCCGUUGCGCUUUAAAGAUCCAUUAUCCGCAUCCGCCAGGGUAACGCUGUUGUUGUUCAGGGUGGGAAAAAUCGAUGUGGGUAGAGCUGCUGCGCCCGGAGCUAGAUUAGCCAAGACUGUAUAAAACAAUUUAUUUCGUAAUCUUAUUCGCGCUGUGGUUUCAUCGCGCCUAAUUCUCUGCCGCGUAAAAAGCUUUGGAAGAUAAGAAAUGUUCUCUUCAAAUCUAUGGUUAAGCCUAGCCAUAUUUUAGAACCUCUUUGCUGGAACAUCUGUUUGGUUCAACAUUCUGUUCCUUUUGAGGCUAAUCCAAGUAGGAUAUGGAUGUCAUCACAUCUUUCUGCCUUGUUCUACCACAGUUUGAGCAGGCACCAUCUCUUGACAAAGGCAGUGCCGGUCUACCUGCAGGGUUCAGAGAGGUCUCCUGGACUCCUACUGUGAGCCUGGCAAGAUAGAAGAGUUUUCUCCAUUGCCCUUCUUCUCAUCAGAAAGAAAAAUCCCUUUGGCCAGAUGUUGGUUUUGUUAUAAGUAAUAAAUUAUGUGCUAGUAAACUGA